GGACGGGAUGGAGCAGCCACCUUUCAAGAAGAGGCGGCUGCUGGAAGAGGCUGAUAACAUCGAGCCCAUGGAGGUGGACCCGCCUGGCAGCCAAGAAGAGCCCAUGGAGGUGGAUCCACCUGUGGCAGAUGAGCUGAUGGAAGUGGAUCCACCUCCAUUGGGGCAGACUGGCCAUCUCUCUGCUGCUGCCAGGCCAACCAGGAAGAGGUCGCGCCCCAAAUUUCAUCGCAGGGGCGCCGGGAUCCGUCCACCUCCCGUGAAACGGCCGCCUCGAUGCCGGCGCUGAUCCUCCCGUCCUCCAAGGCUCCUACGAGCCCUUCCUUCCCAUCCCUCUCCCUUGUCCCUUCCCAAGUCCUCUCAUCUCUUCUUCACCAAGUCCUGAGGAAGAGGGCAGGGCAGGGACUGCCAUCCUCAAAGUUGCUGUGCCGGGGCAGCGGGACAAGUAUGACAGAGGGACCUCAAACAUCACAGGGGUGCGAGGAUCCUGUAAGUUUACCCUUAGCCGGGUACGGUGAGGGACUGCACCAAAUCAGGGCCAUCCUAUGGGCUCACACAGAGCCUCCAUUUCCUGAUCAUCCUUCUCUUGACAGAACAAGGCUCCCAUGA
rnacentral:lncRNA from 1 species